GAAUAUUUCGAUUGCCGUGAGCGCUUUUUGGUCCGACAGAGGUUCAGCGAUGACGAGUUUGGAGAACGCAU
rnacentral:pre_miRNA from 1 species